rfam:Gasterosteus aculeatus cont1.016722, whole genome shotgun sequence.
UCCCUGUUAGUAUAGUGGACAGUAUCUCAGCUUGUCACGCAGAAGACAAGGGUUCGAUUCUCUGACGGGGAG